AUUGAACGCUGGCGGCAUGCUUUACACAUGCAAGUCGGACGGCAGCGGGGUAGUGCUUGCACUACUGCCGGCGAGUGGCGGACGGGUGAGUAAUAUAUUGGAACGUACCGAGUAAUGGGGGAUAACCAAUCGAAAGAUUGGCUACUACCGCAUACGCUCUGAGGAGGAAAGCAGGGGACCUUCGGGCCUUGCGUUAUUCGAGCGGCCAAUAUCUGAUUAGCUAGUUGGUGGGGUAAGGGCCUACCAAGGCGACGAUCAGUAGCGGGUCUGAGAGGAUGAUCCGCCACACUGGGACUGAGACACGGCCCAGACUCCUACGGGAGGCAGCAGUGGGGAAUUUUGGACAAUGGGCGCAAGCCUGAUCCAGCCAUGCCGCGUGUCUGAAGAAGGCCUUCGGGUUGUAAAGGACUUUUGUUAGGGAAGAAAAAGGAGCGGUUAAUACCCGGUUCUGCUGACGGUACCUAAAGAAUAAGCACCGGCUAACUACGUG
rnacentral:rRNA from 1 species